rnacentral:tRNA from 1 species
GAAAUAGAAGUUUAAAAUAAUUGAGUUGCAAUCAAAAGAAGGUACCAAAGUUACCCUAUUUUA